GGGCCUGGCACGUGUAAGAUUAGGCCCAGUUGAAAAACAAAACAAACUGCCACGAAAAAAAUAAUAAUAAUAAACAACGGAAGUGGCAGCGAUCGGAACCCUAGAAAAAUCCGGCGAAGGGAAUAGUCGAUCAUCACUAUCAAAUUCACUGGUACUUCCCGCCCCUCCGAGCGAGCGACCUUUUUGAUCGGAAAUUUACGCAGCUGGUUUUACUCUUACGAAUUAAGGAUUGGAAAUUUUCUCCCCUCUAUCCAUUUACCCCAAUUUGUUUCAAUUUCUUCUUUGAUGUUUUGAGCUUCAGCUGUAAAAUGCUUCUGGUUUUGCGAAUUUCACUUUCUUUUCAGAUAGGGGAAGUUUAGGACUCUCAAUUGAUUCCAAAAUCGAAAAUUGAAGAUUGUACACUGAUGGAAAGCCGCGGUUAUAUCUCUCGAAGGAAUUUGAGGGAGAUGGAAGUCCUUUAGGAAACCUCUCACAAUCAUCUUGGAGUUCCCUCCUCCCCUCUUCAAUUUCUAAGAAAUGAGCAGUGGCCGGCAGCGGACCCAUGGGGUUGGGGUUCAGCAUGUUCUGGACUAUCUGAAACGAGCGCAGGCUGAGAAUCCUGCGUUUUAUUAUGCAGUUCAGGGCGACGAUGAUCACUCUGGGGGGAAUAUAUUUUGGGCGGAUUCAUCGUCUAGAAUGAAUUAUACUUACUUUGGCGACACCGUUGUACUGGAUACAACAUUUAGAACAAACCAGUUUAGGGUGCCUCUUGCUGCCUUUACAGGGUUUAAUCAUCAUGGUCAGCCAGUGUUGUUUGGAUGUGCAUUAGUUCUUUAUGAGUCUGAAUCCUCAUUCAUUUGGCUUUUCCAAACUUGGCUUCAAGCUAUGGCUGGACGCCAACCAAUUUCUAUUACCACUGACCCAGAUAGGCUUAUUCAAGUUGCUGUUGCACAGGUUCUUCCAGGAACCCGCCAUCGUUUUUGCAAGUGGGCUAUAUUCAGAGAAACACAGGAGAAGUUGUCUCAUCUCUGUCAAUCUCAUCCUACUUUUGAAACUGAAUUUAAAAAAUGUGUGAAUGAGGCUGAGACAAUUGACGAAUUUGAGUCCUGUUGGGCAUCCCUUCUGAAUAGAUAUUACAUUAUGGAUAAUGAAUGGCUUCAGUUAAUGUAUAGUGCUCGACAACAGUGGGUACCCGUUUACAUGAGAGACACUUUUUUUGGAGAAUUGUCAAUAAAUGAGAGCUAUAAAAGUUUGAAUUUGUUCUUUGAUGGAUAUGUUACUGCAUCCACCACAAUACAGAUGUUGGUUAGACAGUAUGAGAAGGCUAUGGCAAGCUGGCAUGAAAAAGAAUUAAAAGCUGAUUACGAUACAAUUAACUCGCUGCCAGUUUUGAAGACACCAUCCCCUAUGGAAAAACAAGCUGCAGAUCUAUAUACGAGGAGGAUAUUCAGGAAGUUCCAAGAGGAAUUGGUAGAAACUCUUGCCAAUCCUGCAACCAAAAUUGAUGAUACAGGAACAGUUGCCACUUACAGAGUGGCGAAAUUUGGGGAAGACCAUAAAGCACAUGCUGUUAGUUAUAAUUCGUUUGAGAUGAAAGCUAACUGCAGCUGUCAACUUUUUGAAUAUUCAGGAAUAAUUUGCAGGCAUGUAUUAGCAGUUUUUAGGGCAAAAAACGUUCUUACACUUCCUUCACAAUAUGUAUUGAAACGGUGGACCAGAAAUGCCAGAAAUGGAUCUGCAAUAGAUGACCAUAAUUCUGAAUUACCCAAUGAAUGUGGAGAUUCUACGAGUGUUAGGUAUAACAAUCUUCGCCAAGAAGCAAUCAGAUAUGUUGAGGAAGGGGCAAAGUCAAUUCAUAGUUAUAAUGUGGCUAUGGAUGCUUUAAAAGAGGCCUCUAGAAAGGUGGCUGCUGUGAAGAAUCGGAGCCCUGGAGCUUCAAAUGGCGAUAUUAUGGCCAAUGGAGGUGUUGGAGCAUUGGUUGCAACAGAAGAGGAUCAGACAGCAACCUAUCAGUCUGUGGAACAGAAGGAGAAGAAAAUUCGCGAACUGUCCACCGAGUUGGAAAAAACAAAUCAACGUUGUGAAGUGUACAGAGCAAAUCUUCUAGCUGUUCUGAGAGAUAUGGAAGAUCAGAAGUUAAAGUUAUCAGUGAAGGUCCAAAAUGCGAGGCUUAGUUUGAAAGAAUGAAUGAUCAUAUAACAUACAGGAACAAGCAAUUCCCCUCCCUAUCAUUGCCGUCCUCCUUUUGACUUAAGACCAUCCUUCCAUUGUGUUCAGCUUUUUAAUGGUCUUCCUUCUAAUGAUGGGGAACUGACAGAACGGGUGACCAAUGGCAUUGAAAGGAACGGCUGAGGGUGUCAACUGCCAUUUAGGUCCCAUGAAAGUUGAAUUAUCCUGAAGGUGAAAUCAGAAGGUAACUAGUUUUAUCUUUUCCAUUAAACUCUAGCCAAGAUUAAGGAUGAGUGAAUUUAAUCAAACACUCUAAUUCAAGACACUAAUGUCUA